rnacentral:lncRNA from 1 species
AAUAGUUGCAAAUCCAAGACAAACAACACAAGGAAAAUGCCCUGGGUCGCCAUAUCUUCUCAACCAAACCAUGUUACUCCCAACCUUCAUGCCAUUACGGAUUCGAGUUCUAAGCAUGUAGAUCGAGACCAUUUCGCACAUGCAACGGUAAUCAUCUCCCACUUAGUUCAAGAUACAUGUCUCUCAGCUUGCAAAAAAUCUCUGCAAGUUAUAUUUUCGUGAUGAGUCUUUGUAGAAGCUUACACGGAUGUUUUUCUGUAUUAGGUGCUCGAGAUGCACAUAGAGACUGAAGAGACAGAUUUGGAAAGCUCCCAAACUCACGGAUCUGCAAAUUUUUAGGUAGAAACCGUAACCCUUUUGAUUGAUUGACUAUGAUCUGAUACUUGAAUAAUAACCACUACUGUGACUGAAAAUGACACUCAAAUCUAGCGUACAAUCGAGAGACAACAACCUUGAGCUUCCGGUCUAGUAGUCCCUGAAGGCAACAGAAACGACAAAUGUCUCGGCCUCUGUAAAUAAAGAAGGUAAAGAUCUCGUUCUUCUGCUUCUGCUCGACUGAACAUUUAUAUAUUCAACUACAUUUUAUUUAUGAUGCCAUGUUGAUCGUGUAUGUACUCCCAAAAUGACACCAUACGAACUGAAAACAUACAAUCACUUGAAUAACUUGGAUCUCUAAAUUGGUAACAAUUGCGGACUAAAACACAUGGGCUCCCAGAAAAGAAUGAAGUACGCCCUAGAUCUGACUCAUGAAUCUGGUUAGUUCUGUAUAGAUGCUCGUUUUAUGUCCUGCAUAGGGGUGGGUUCGGUUCAAAUCGGUUCGGUUUUUUGCCAAAACCGAAACCAAACCGAAACCGAAAUUUCGGUUUGGUUCGGUUCUGUUCAUUUUUUUUCGGUUUUUUUUUGUUCGGUUUUUUCCGGUUCGGUUUCGGUUUUUUGUUUUGUUUUUUUUUUCAAAAAAUGAAAGACAUUGAAAUUUAAAAUUUUAACAUCUCCAACACAAUCAUAACAUAAACAUUCUAACUAGAAUCAAAGACAAUGAAAAUAAACAUUUAAAGUUGAACUAAAAUCAUCAAUCAAGUCUUCCAAAUUCCAAACUAACAACCUCACAACACAAAAAUCGUACAAAUGACUUAGAAAAGUUAAAUUGUAUGAUGUUGUUCAAAGAUCAGGGUUGUUUGCUUGUAACUACAUGUUGACAACUUGAUUAGUAAAAGUAAUGCGUGGGUGGAUUUAUUUAGUGUGUGUUGGAUUCUUUUCCAUCACAAAGUAUGCAAGUAAUCUACCCGAAAUAAAUGUUUAUGGAUUCUGUUACAUGUUAUAUGAGAGUAGAUUUAGAAAAGAAAGCUGGGGCUGAAGUAGAUAGUGCUAUGGAGAUGGAUGUAGGUACUUCAGGAGGAGGUUUGGUUCCGAAACUUUAGGGUUUAGAGUUUUUAUAGGCCUUUUUUUAAUAUUUUGAGCUUAUGGAGAUGGAUGUAGGUACUUCAGGAGGAGGUUUGGUUCCGAAUUCUUUAGGGUUUAGCACAUUUUAACUUACAAAUUGGGUUUAAAAAAUAAUAUCCAAAACAAAUAAUUAAAUAAAAAAAUUAAUUUAAUUAAUUCGGUUUGGUUCGGUUUGGUUUGGUUUCUAGAUCACUAAAACCAAACCGAACCAAAAGAAUUCGGUUUGGUUCGGUUGUUUCAAUUCGGUUCGUUUUUUUCGUUCGGUUCGGUUUUUUCGGUUUCGGUUCGGUUCGGUUUUCGAUUUUUUGAACCCACCCUUAGUCCUGCAUGUAUUCAUAUUGGUGCUCUUUGUGUAGGGGUAUACGGAUCCAUGAUAGAGCCAAGGGAAAAGAAGUAAACACACAAACCCAUCGGACAAAGACAGCACAGGUCGCAUGACCCAGAUCGAUGCAUCUGGGAGGUAAAAUUCGAAUCCCUGCAAGUGUAGUUGUUAUAGAUCUGGUAAUAAUAACUGUACUCAGUUCUGUGGUGUAUGGAUCUGUGAUUUAACUGUGCUUCUCCAUGCAUUGCAAAACUGAGCUGCAAAAAAUUAACUGCUCAAAAUUAUGUUUCUGUACAAAGAUUCUUUCAUUAGAAUUCUUAAUAUUUAAAGGUGGGAUACUUUAGGAACUAAAAUACACAUAAAAACAUUAAAAACAAUAAAAUGUGAGAUUUAAUGUCAAUUCUGAGGUGAAAAUCCAGUCAAAUGACUAAUUUUAAUAUUUUAUCUUGUACCAGGUUAAUGUCAAUUCUCAUGUAGUCACUGGCGGAUCCAUAUAGGGACCCGGGAGGUUCCGGGACCCUUCGGAAGCCAAAAGAAACGCUUGUGAUCGACCUUCGGGACCCUCCAAAAAUUUAGGCAGGUGCAGUGGAGAGGCUUGUUGGCACCCAAGUCUGGGUAUGUGGUGGAGGAGGUCCAGUUGCCGUUGCAUUGUUCAGUCAUCCUACAAACCAAAAGAAGAAGAUGAACGAAACGGUGUGUUUUGGCUAAGUGAGAAGAACAAGAAGGCUACUUUUUCUUUAAAUGAAACGGUGUGUUUUGGCCAUGUUGUUUAAAUGAAACGGUGUGUUUUGGCCAUGUUGUUUAAAUAAAAAGGUGUGCUUUCAUACACGGUUUGAAAACACUUGUUC